rnacentral:lncRNA from 1 species
AAUAGACAUCUCUCGGCCUUGUUCUUCUUUUGGCUGGGGAAGUCAGACACAACAAGGAAGACAAGAACCAACUCCUGAACUCACUCUCAACUCUUUCUUUCUUUUUCCACCAACAGACAAAACACACACAAAAUGAAAGAAAAUCUCCCUCACUCUCUUGGCCCAUAUCCCUCCCCUUUUUUUUCUACUCAAUUCCCACAACACAUCCCCACACAACUCAGACACAACAAGGCAGCCACCGGUUGGACAAAAAGCUUGGACUUUCUCAAAAACUUUAGUCAAGGGACUACAAUCCUCAUCAAGGUAUUUUUCUUUUCCUCUCUUCUUUUUUUUCGAUUUUCCCUUUUAUUAAUUAAUUAGAUUAAAUUCAUGCUUUGCUACCUAUUUGUCUCUUUCUUUCACUAAUGUUGUUGUUAUGUGGUGUUUGUUGAAAUUGUUGGUGUAAGCUAUUAAUAACAUCGAGAAAAGAGGAUUUUUUGUGAAUGCCUUGUUUGUGUUUAACGAAAUGCCAAAAUGAAAAAUGAAUCAAAUUAGUGAAUUUUGUGCAUAGUUUUGUUAAGAUUAGAUGACUCCUAGCUAGCACAAGGCUUGGAAAAGAUUUUUGAUUGUCCAAAAUUCAAGUUUUGACCUCAAAAGCAAGGAAUGAAUUUUUUUAAUUUAGGGAUUGUUUUGACUUAAUGCAUUAUUUUGUUGUUGUUUUCUUGUUAAACUAAAAACAUAGUUGCAUUAUAGAAAUCACAAGUAUUAUUUUGGUAUAAAAUUUACAGUUUUUGGGUGAGAUUUUAAUGAUUUUUGGGAAGCAAAACCGUGACUAUUUUUUGGCCAUUUGACCACUUUUCUUUCCUUUUUUUGUAAAAAUAAACUUCAAAAAUAGAAUCUUCGCGAAAAAUCGAGUGGGGUGUAUUUUGAGAAAUUUUGGCAACCAGAAAAUUCGCCAGUGGUUGACAGCUGCCAUGGCCACUAGCUGAAACUUCUUCAAUGGGCCGGACAAGAAGACGAAGAAGCGGGAGUGGAAGAAGUAGAAAAAAGAAGAAGAAGAAUAAGAGAAAGAAAAGAAAACAAAGAAAAGAAUGUUUGGCUAAUGUUUUUUUUAGUGGUAGGCUUACAGUUAUUUUGGUUGGGUUUUGGGAAAGGGUGUUGGUUUAUUUCUUUUGGGUUAGAAGGUUAGAACCAAUGUAUUUUUUAGUUGGGCUUGAGUGAUAGCAAGACGGGCUGGCCUGAGUAUUUUGGCUUGAACUUUUGAUUGGGCCGGAUGGCCUUUGGCCCGAAAAAAAUAGAGAAUGGCCCAGUGACCUGUUUUCUUAAGAAGAUCUGCUAGUGAAUUUGCACUUCAGUCCCUGAACUUUAGAAUAAUUUUAUUAUAGCCCAGCAAAUUUUAAAUUUCAUUCAAUUAGGUCCUUAAUUAAUUACACUUUGAUCCCUAAAUUUCAUCUUUCAUUUAAUUUUGACCCCUAA